CCUACGGGCGGCAGCAGUAGGGAAUCUUUCACAAUGGGCGAAAGCCUGAUGGAGCAACGCCGCGUGCGGGAUGAAGGACUUCGGGUUGUAAACCGCUAUCAUAAGCGAGAAAAAUGAUGGUAACUUAUGAAUAAGCAUCGGCUAACUACGUGCCAGCAGCCGCGGUAAUACGGAGGGGCCAAGCGUUAUCCGGAUUUAUUGGGUUUAAAGGGAGCGUAGACGGGUGGGUAAGUCAGUAGUGAAAGUUUGCGGCUCAACCGUAGAAUUGCAUUGGAUACUGGCAGGCUUGAGUGCUGUAGAGGUAGGCGGAAUUCGUGGUGUAGCGGUGAAAUGCGUAGAUAUCACGAAGAACUCCAGUGGCGAAGGCAGCCUACUAAACUGUCACUGACAUUGAGGCUCGAAAGUGUGGGGAGCAAACAGGAUUAGAUACCCUUGUAGUC
rnacentral:rRNA from 1 species